CGACAACUCUGCCACGCACAUGAGUAUUUGUGUUCAACCUUUAAUGGUGGAUCUGUUUUUUUAGAAAUGUGUCAAGAGAGUUGAGAAUGAUGAUACUGGCCACCAAAACUGCACUGGGUAAUAUUUUGAUUACUGGUCAUGCAUCGACAAAUGUGUAGCACCAAAGCUCUUUAAGAAGCUCAAAUCAUUUAUGCGAUAAGCUCGAGUCGUCCACUGGUGGCUUAUCUUCUCUGCCUGGUGAGAG